rnacentral:rRNA from 1 species
AUUGAACGCUGGCGGCAAGCCUAACACAUGCAAGUCGAGCGCGGGGCGGACGGGUGAGUAGUAUCUGGGAAACUGCCUGAUGGAGGGGGAUAUCUACUGGACACGGUCGCUAAUACCGCAUACUCGGGGGUGUGCACAUAUGGGAUUAGCUUGUAGGUGGGGUAAGCGCUCACCUAGGCGACGAUCCCUAGCUGGUCUGAGAGGAUGACCAGCCACACUGGGACUGAGACACGGCCCAGACUCCUACGGGAGGCAGCAGUGGGGAAUAUUGCACAAUGGGCGCAAGCCUGAUGCAGCCAUGCCGCGUGUAUGAAGAAGGCCUUCGGGUUGUAAAGUACUUUCAGCGGGGAGGCGUUACCCGCAGAAGAAGCACCGGCUAACUCCGUGCCAGCAGCCGCGGUAAUUC